AGGGUGUUACUGUCAGAAGGACUACUGGAUGACAUGAGCCACUCAGAGCUUCACGUGAAAUCCAAAGCAGAAAUGAGAUUGCCCUUCAAAUGGUCUUUGCACAGUCGUCUCUGACCAACAGAACUGAAGGUCACCAUGGACUUCAACCUUUACAUGCAGGCCUGAGCUGGCUUUGCUGCUGCACAUGCUGGCAGAUGAGCAUGUUCAACAGGAAGGUAGGCCACUUGUAUUGGCCGAACGGGAAGGCACUGACCCACUGCCUCCUCUUCUGACCCAGGCUCUUCUGAGUUUAUCAGACUCUGGGACAUUACAAAGCCUGCAGGAUUUUGCUGUGAGGGGUCUGCUGGCAUGUGCCCCAGAUAGAAGCUGAGUUGUGGGGUUUUCCUGAGGCCACGAUCCAGGUCCAAG